ACAUGCUGUCUCACGUCUUUACCAUUCUUCCUCUGACUUUUCUCAGCUCUUACAUCUCAGUUUUUGCAAACAGUCAAGUCAUAACACCACCCCUGUGGGUGUGAGUGAGUGUGUGUGUGAGUGUGUGUGUGUGUGUGUGUCAGAGAGAGAGAGAGAGAGCAUGUCCGUGCAGGUGUGUGUGUUUUUUCAGAUGUGUCUUUCAGAUAAAGGACACUCAGGCCGAUCGUCUACUGGUCUUGUGUUGUGGAUCUAAAUACUUGAGCCACAUCUUCAUCAAACUUCCUCCUCCUCCUCAUCACACCUCAGUGGUCUCUCAGUCUACCCGUGUCCACAGUCAGCUGACCCACGGAGGUCUUGGAACCCCAGGUUGAGAACUACUGAACUCACAGAUGAACUUGAAAGACUAUCAUCAGUUUUCUGUUGACCUGCAGGACUGAAGGUCGACAACAAGACAUCAAAUGUGAAACGCUGACCAGAACAGACGGUGAAGACUGAGGAAUUUGAACGUGAUUUAGAAGAACUGCUCUGGUGUUCAACUGACAUUUCUCCUCAGUGCAGUUCUGGUUUAUUUUAUCUUCAGAUCAGUGUGUACAUGAGUCACACAUCUGUGAGGCUGCAGCUGUCAUCAUGGAAGUUAGUGCAGGGGUGUAGUUGUCUGUGACACCAUCAGUAGGUGAGGAAUCGGCUGCAUCAGCUCCUGGAUAGAGGAGAGGAGCUGUGGUGGUGCUGAGCGGAAAACGCUGCUCACGAGAAGGAAAGAAAAAACUGUCAGUUGGUCCUCACCGCUGCUGAGCUGCAGUGCAUAAUGGGAAAUAUUCACCUGGAGAAAUUCUGAUCACUGUCAAAAGACAAUAAGAAGGAAGAAGCUUCCCGCCACGGCCGCCGCCGCCGCCGCAGCUUCCUCUGUCUGUCUGUGGUUUAUUUUGAAAAACAAUAUAAAUUAGAGCCAGACUGGGGGCAGUGAAGAAGAAGAGUGAAGAAGAAGAGGGAGGAAGAAGAGUGAGG